CGGCCCCGGCGCCGCCCGCGCCCGAGCGUGUGUGCUCGGCCGCCGCCCCCUCGGCCCUCCCCUCGGCCCUCCCCUCGGCCCCCUCCGCCCUCGCGCGCCGCCCGCCCGGGUCGCGGCGGGGCCGUGGUGUACGUGCAGAGCGCGCAGAGCGAGUGGCGCCCGCAAGCCCUGCGCUCUUCCACAGGCCGGGCCGGGCAGCCCCGGACGGUGAGGCGGCGGCGGCGGCCGGGGCGGCCGAUCUCGCGCGUCCGGGCCCGAGUGCCCGAGCGGAGGUCGCCGUCCGCCGCGCAGGCCGCGGUCCCUCAGCUCGCGGCAGCGAUGAGGCGCUGAGGCGGCCGCCGGCGCUGCGCGGCAGGACCCGAGGACGAGGCAGCGGCCGGGCCGAGAGCGCGGGGCGCCGGCCUCCCUCAGGCGAGGAGUGGCGGGUGCGUGGCGCAGUGACGGCCUCUGCCGCUCCGCCCGUUCCCCGGCCCCGGGCGAGGCCCUCCGGCCGCCACCCGUCCUGCUCGGCCGCGGUCGCCAACGCCGCCGCCAUGGCUAAUGACAGCGGCGGGCCCGGCGGGCCGAGCCCGAGCGAGCGAGACCGGCAGUACUGCGAGCUGUGCGGGAAGAUGGAGAACCUGCUGCGCUGCAGCCGCUGCCGCAGCUCCUUCUACUGCAGCAAGGAGCACCAGCGCCAGGACUGGAAGAAGCACAAGCUAGUGUGCCAGGGCGGCGAGGGCGCCCCGGGCCCCGGAGCGGGCCAGCACCGGCACCCCGGCUCCGCGCCGCCCGCCUCCGCGCCGCCGCCCAGGGCCGGCGGGGCCGGGGCCAGGGAGGCCAGGAAGGCAGUGCCGCGCCGGGACAGCGCCGCCGCCGUCGAGAAUGCGGGCGCGCGGGCCGCCGGGGACGCGGCCAAGGCAAAGGCCAAGCCCGCGGCCGACCCCGCGGCGGCCGCUACCCCGCUUCGCGCGGCUGCGGGCGGCCAGGGCCAGGCGGCGGCGGCGGCGGCCGAGGUGGAGCCCGCGAAGGAGGAGGCGCUGGCUCGCGCGUCGCAGUACCAGGAGAAGGCGAACCUGUACCCGCCGAGCAACACGCCGGGCGAGGGGCUGAGCCACGGCGGCGGCCUGCGGCCCAACGGGCAGACGAAGCCCCUGCCGGCGCUGAAGCUGGCGCUGGAGUACAUCGUGCCGUGCAUGAACAAGCACGGCAUCUGUGUGGUGGACGACUUCCUGGGCAAGGAGACCGGGCAGCAGAUCGGCGACGAGGUGCGCGCCCUGCACGACACCGGCAAGUUCACGGACGGGCAGCUGGUCAGCCAGAAGAGUGACUCGUCCAAGGACAUCCGAGGCGAUAAGAUCACCUGGAUCGAGGGCAAGGAGCCCGGCUGCGAAACCAUCGGGCGGCUCAUGAGCAGCAUGGACGACCUGAUCCGCCACUGUAACGGGAAGCUGGGCAACUACAAAAUCAAUGGCCGGACGAAAGCUAUGGUUGCUUGUUAUCCAGGCAACGGAACGGGUUAUGUACGUCACGUUGAUAAUCCAAAUGGAGAUGGAAGAUGUGUGACGUGUAUAUAUUAUCUUAAUAAAGACUGGGAUGCCAAGUAAGCUCUACUCCCAACGGGGGGCUCGAACUCACAACCCCGGGAUCAAGAGUCACAUGCUCUACUGAUGGAGCCAGCCAGGUGCCCCCCCAAAUUUAACCCAUACCAAAAUGUAUUUAAUUAAAAUAUAUACGUUUUAGUGGCUUUUAUAAAAAACACUUCUGAGAACACUUGUUUUAUAACGGCUUUUGAGGGAGAUUAUAUAUAAAUAAUUAUUAUGGGUUAUUUCCUACUUCUUCUUGUUGCAGAGAUACUGUCUGGCAUUGGGUUAUUGAAUUGAAUAUUGGAGGCAGGAUUCCUUCUCUCCUGAUUAUGGAAAAACUAGAAGUUUAUCAGUGCUGACAAAUCCUGUAAAACCUACUAGAGUUUACAGUACAUUUUCUCUUGUUUUAAAUAUUUAUUUCCUUAUAUUAGCCUGAGUUUCACUUGAGUUUAAAUGAUUGAAACCUCAGAAGUAUGUCAUGCUUUGUUACUGCUUUGUAGGUUGUUUAAACUAAUUUUGGGUUGAUUUUUUUAAAAAUCUGUAUUUACUUUUAUUGAAGCAAAAUAUUCAAAUAGAAAAAUGAACACACUGUAUAUAAUAGCCCUGUGGAUUUUCAGAGGGAACACACCUGUAUAGCCAGGGUAAGUGGAGGUAUACUUCGAAUUUUUCCAGAAGGCAAAGCCCAGUUUGCUGACAUUGAACCCAAAUUUGAUAGACUGCUGUUUUUCUGGUCUGACCGUCGCAACCCUCAUGAAGUACAACCAGCAUAUGCUACAAGGU